rnacentral:rRNA from 1 species
GAUGAACGCUGGCGGCGUGCCUAAUACAUGCAAGUCGAGCGAAUGGAUUGAGAGCUUGCUCUUAUGAAGUUAGCGGCGGACGGGUGAGUAACACGUGGGUAACCUGCCCAUAAGACUGGGAUAACUCCGGGAAGCCGGAGCUAAUACCGGAUAACAUUUUGAACCGCAUGGUUCGAAAUUGAAAGGCGGCUUCGGCUGUCACUUAUGGAUGGACCCGCGUCGCAUUAGCUAGUUGGUGAGGUAACGGCUCACCAAGGCAACGAUGCGUAGCCGACCUGAGAGGGUGAUCGGCCACACUGGGACUGAGACACGGCCCAGACUCCUACGGGAGGCAGCAGUAGGGAAUCUUCCGCAAUGGACGAAAGUCUGACGGAGCAACGCCGCGUGAGUGAUGAAGGCUUUCGGGUCGUAAAACUCUGUUGUUAGGGAAGAACAAGUGCUAGUUGAAUAAGCUGGCACCUUGACGGUACCUAACCAGAAAGCCACGGCUAACUACGUGCCAGCAGCCGCCGUAA